GAUGAACGCUGGCGGCGUGCCUAAUACAUGCAAGUCGAGCGAACGGACGAGAAGCUUGCUUCUCUGAUGUUAGCGGCGGACGGGUGAGUAACACGUGGAUAACCUACCUAUAAGACUGGGAUAACUUCGGGAAACCGGAGCUAAUACCGGAUGAUAUUUUGCACCGCAUGGUUCAAAAGUGAAAGACGGUCUUGCUGUCACUUAUAGAUGGAUCCGCGCUGCAUUAGCUAGUUGGUAAGGUAACGGCUUACCAAGGCAACGAUGCAUAGCCGACCUGAGAGGGUGAUAGGCCACACUGGAACGGAGACACGGUCCAGACGCCUACGGGAGGCAGCAGUAGGGAAUCUUCCGCAAUGGGCGAAAGCCUGACGGAGCAACGCCGCGUGAGUGAUGAAGGUCUUCGGAUCGUAAAACUCUGUUAUUAGGGAAGAACAUAUGUGUAAGUAACUGUGCACAUCGUGACGGUACCUAAUCAGAAAGCCACGGCUAACUACGUG
rnacentral:rRNA from 1 species